GACGUAGGGCGCGAGCGUUGUCCGGAUUUAUUGGGCGUAAAGAGCUCGUAGGCGGCUUGUCGCGUCGACUGUGAAAACCCCGGGGCUCAACUCCGGGCCUGCAGUCGAUACGGGCUGGCUUGAGUGCGGUAGGGGAGACUGGAAUUCCUGGUGUAGCGGUGAAAUGCGCAGAUAUCAGGAGGAACACCGGUGGCGAAGGCGGGUCUCUGGGCCGUAACUGACGCUGAGGAGCGAAAGCGUGGGGAGCGAACAGG
rnacentral:rRNA from 1 species